CCUACGGGAGGCAGCAGUGAGGAAUAUUGGUCAAUGGGAGAGAUCCUGAACCAGCCAAGCCGCGUGAGGGAAGACGGCCCUAUGGGUUGUAAACCUCUUUUGUCGGAGAACAAAACCCGGGACGUGUCCCGGACUGCGUGUAUCCGAAGAAAAAGCAUCGGCUAACUCCGUGCCAGCAGCCGCGGUAAUACGGAGGAUGCGAGCGUUAUCCGGAUUUAUUGGGUUUAAAGGGUGCGUAGGCGGGCCGUUAAGUCAGCGGGAAAAUUGCGGGGCUAAACCCCGUCGAGCCGUUGAGACUGGCAGACUUGAGUAGGCGAGAGGUACGCGGAAUGCGCGGUGUAGCGGUGAAAUGCAUAGAUAUCGCGCAGAACUCCGAUUGCGAAGGCAGCGUACCGGCGCCAGACUGACGCUGAGGCACGAAAGCGUGGGGAUCGAACAGGAUUAGAUACCCUAGUAGUC
rnacentral:rRNA from 1 species